CGCACGGGUGAGUAACACGUAUCCAACCUGCCGUCUACUCUUGGACAGCCUUCUGAAAGGAAGAUUAAUACAAGAUGGCAUCAUGAGUCCGCAUGUUCACAUGAUUAAAGGUAUUCCGGUAGACGAUGGGGAUGCGUUCCAUUAGAUAGUGGCGGGGUAACGGCCCACCUAGUCUUCGAUGGAUAGGGGUUCUGAGAGGAAGGUCCCCCACAUUGGAACUGAGACACGGUCCAAACUCCUACGGGAGGCAGCAUG
rnacentral:rRNA from 1 species